UACGUAGGGUGCGAGCGUUAAUCGGAAUUACUGGGCGUAAAGCGUGCGCAGGCGGUUUUGUAAGCCAGAUGUGAAAUCCCCGGGCUUAACCUGGGAAUUGCGCUUGAAACUAGCGGGCUUGAGUGUGGCAGAGGGGGGUGGAAUUCCACGUGUAGCAGUGAAAUGCGUAGAGAUGUGGAGGAACACCGAUGGCGAAGGCAGCCCCCUGGGUCAACACUGACGCUCAUGCACGAAAGCGUGGGGAGCAAACAGG
rnacentral:rRNA from 1 species